GAAGGAGAAAUUCACAUCAUUUUUAAUCAUGAUCUUCUCAUCAGCUCUAUUACUGCUGGCAGCAGCUGCAUCAUGUGGUGUUUUCUGUGUUGAGCUCACUCAACCUUCAUCUAUGGUUGUGAAA